CCCACCCCCUGCCUGCAGGAGCCCGGCAGCCCUCACAACCCGGCUCAGACAUGGUGCCGGCCGGUAGGGUCAGCUCCUAGGAAGGGGGUGGCUGCAAAGCGCCCCAAGUGGGAACCACACCACAGAAGUCACUGUGUUUAAAGCAUUCACACUCGGAGAUUUGUAUGUGUGUGUUCACACACAUGUACAGUUAUUCAGAUAGUCACACAAGUUUACUUAAAACAACGUGUAGAUAGAUAGAUAUGAGAUAGAUUGAUAGAUAUGAGAUAGAUAGAGAUGUUAGAUAGAUUGAUAUUUGAUAGAUAGAUAUUAGAUAGACAGAUAGAUAGCUGUGGAUAGAUAACGUUGCUGGACAUAAGCUGAGGGCAGCAGCAGCAGCAGAGCAGGACAGUAGUCUCUCCCCGUCCAUGCAGCAGAGUAGAGGACUAUACUGUAGAAGCAGGAUGCAUGGAGACUGGCUAGAGGUGGGGCCCACCGAUCACUAAACUACAAGGCUUGCUGUAGGAGAAGUCCGCUGACUGGCACACAGUGGAGGGACUGGCUGGUACCAGGACUGUUCCAGCUUGUGUGUGGGUGCAGCACUCCCGCUGUGUAUAAGGGGGGACAGACUACAAGAGGACUGUGUGUGCGCUCUAGGGCAUCGCCGCUUUAAAUGCAAGCCCCGAGGUCAUUUACACAGUUCAAAAAGGAAAGAAGCUUUCUUCACAUGGGAAGCAGCCUCUAGUAUAUGGAUUUCAAGAUUAAUAACACGAAAUUUGGCACAGAAAAAAACAUGAAGAAUUUGAAUAUUUGGGGGACACCUGCUUUUACCUGAAGAAGACGAUACGAGUGUGGAAUAUAUAUACAAACUGAGACUCAGGAUGGCCAUAAUUCUGGAAUUAAAUCCUUGCAGAACACUUGAAGUUUUCCAUUGGAGAAAUCAAAAUUUAUACAUAGUAUAUAUAAUGGAUUUAGUUUUUAUGACCCACUAGUGGAUAAUGAAUAGGUCAUUCAAGAAUGAAUCGGCCAUUGCUACCUGGGGCUAAGUUGUGCCUUUUUAGGACACCCAGAUCUCUGUGCCAUGAGUUUGUUGGUUACUGCCUUCUUGGGCUUUAUUCAGAGAGAAGGGUUAUAAGGGCAUGGCACAUAAACUAACAGAAGGUUGUCAGUUGUCACAGCUAGCAAAAGUUAUUGAAAGAAAAUUGUCAGGGCCAACAUGCUGUUGGUGAGUGGUACAAAAUCACGCCAGUGUAAUUUUUUCAAAAUAAUCAUAUAAUAAAAUGCUUGUAAGUCAAGUCACACAUUCUA